rnacentral:rRNA from 1 species
GAUGAACGCUGGCGGCGUGCCUAAUACAUGCAAGUCGAGCGAACGGACGAGAAGCUUGCUUUUCUGAUGUUAGCGGCGGACGGGUGAGUAACACGUGGAUAACCUACCUAUAAGACUGGGAUAACUUCGGGAAACCGGAGCUAAUACCGGAUAAUAUUUUGAACCGCAUGGUUCAAAAGUGAAAGACGGUCUUGCUGUCACUUAUAGAUGGAUCCGCGCGGCAUUAGCUAGUUGGUAAGGUAACGGCUUACCAAGGCAACGAUGCAUAGCCGACCUGAGAGGGUGAUCGGCCACACUGGAACUGAGACACGGUCCAGACUCCUACGGGAGGCAGCAGUAGGGAAUCUUCCGCAAUGGGCGAAAGCCUGACGGAGCAACGCCGCGUGAGUGAUGAAGGUCUUCGGAUCGUAAAACUCUGUUAUUAGGGAAGAACAUAUGUGUAAGUAACUGUGCACAUCUUGACGGUACCUAAUCAGAAAGCCACGGCUAACUACGUG